AGCGGGGUAGAGCAGCCUGGAGUGCUCGCCAGGCCCAUAACCUGGAGGUCGUGCGGUUCAAAUCCCACCCCCGCUA
rnacentral:tRNA from 1 species